CGGAAUCAUUGGGUUUAAAGGGUCCGUAGGCGGGCCUGUAAGUCAGGGGUGAAAGUUUGUGGCUCAACCAUAAAAUUGCCUUUGAUACUGCAGGUCUUGAGUCAUGGUGGGGUUGCCGGAACAUGUGGUGUAGCGGUGAAAUGCAUAGAUAUCACAUAGAACACCGAUCGCGAAGGCAGGUGACCAACCAUGUACUGACGCUGAUGGACGAAAGCGUGGGUAGCGAACGGGAUUAGAUACCCCGGUAGUCCACGCCGUAAACGAUGGAUACUAGCUGUGGGGACUUCGGUCUCCGUGGCCAAGCGAAAGUGAUAAGUAUCCCACCUGGGGAGUACGUUCGCAAGAAUGAAACUCAAAGGAAUUGACGGGGGCCCGCACAAGCGGUGGAGCAUGUGGUUUAAUUCGAUGAUACGCGAGGAACCUUACCAGGGCUUAAAUGCAGGCUGCAUGGGGUAGAGAUACCCCUUUCUUCGGACCGCCUGCAAGGUGCUGCAUGGUUGUCGUCAGCUCGUGCCGUGAGGUGUCAGGUUAAGUCCUAUAACGAGCGCAACCCCUACCGUUAGUUGCCAGCAUGUCAAGAUGGGGACUCUAACGGGACUGCCGGUGCAAACCGUGAGGAAGGUGGGGACGACGUCAAAUCAUCACGGCCCUUACGUCCUGGGCUACACACGUGCUACAAUGGCCGGUACAGAGGGAAGCCACCCCGCAAGGGGGCGCGGAUCUACAAAACCGGUCACAGUUCGGAUCGGGGUCUGCAACUCGACCCCGUGAAGCUGGAAUCGCUAGUAAUCGGAUAUCAGCCAUGAUCC
rnacentral:rRNA from 1 species